GGAGCGAUCGCCUAGUUGGUCGAGGGCGCCGCACUGGAAAUGCGGUAUACCGGGUCAACCGGUAUCGAGGGUUCGAAUCCCUCUCGCUCCG
rnacentral:tRNA from 1 species